CAGAACGCGAAACCCUCGUUUUCCCCUAACCCUUUCUCUUUCGCUCACCUCAUGCUCGCCGUCGCCUCUCCCUCCGAUUCGUUUCCGACGCCCAUAAUCCUUCUCAAAUCUCGUAAAUCCAAAGUGAUGUCUCGAUUCACCGUUUCCUUCCGUCCAUUUCGACUCUUUGUCUUCACUAACCUCAAGCUUCAAGCCUCGGCAGUACAAAUCCUCAAACCUUUCCCCUAAUCCAUCAGAGGGCGCUUGUGGGUCUCAAUCGGGAAGUUUCUGGCCGAUGUGGGUCUCCGAGAGUUCGUGAUCUCCUCCUCCAUUUCCGACGUCUCUUAAACCCUCUUCUUCUGCUCUCCAAUAGCCCUCGAUAAUGGGCUACUCGAGCUUCAACUGGUGUUCCUGAGUUCGAAGGUCUCUGUUUCGCCGGCGUUUAUGUCCGACCACAUUAAAGUGUUCGUCUUCCACUCCAUUUCGUGGUUCCUGUCUUUGAGGUUCGUUCGUCUUCCCCUCUUUUCUCUCUUCAUGUCGUGUUCCUAUCUUUGAGGUCUAAGGGUUUCAGCCUAUCACCAUUUCGUUUGAGGCUGAUAGUCGCCGGAGAUGUAAUAGUGACAUGUAACCAUCGUGAUAGUGACAUCUAACCUCACUCUUCUUCUGUUCCAUUUCUCCUCUCUUUUCUUUCUUCUAUAAAUUAAAGUUCUUACACACCAUAUUUCACCUAUCACCAUCACCAUCUCUUGUGUAGAAUUUAAUCCAAACUUCAUGAGUCUAGCUUCUUCUCCAUUGCUCUUUUUAAAUUUUUAUGCAUUCUUUUUGUAGUAACAUUAUAUUUGGAUGGAGGAGGAGACUACAAAAAUAUCAUACGUGUGCACGACACACGUAACUCCAGUACACUGGUUUGAAACAUCAGAUUCUACUACUUUGGCUUCAGAUCCUCGCGCAGACUUGAAAUCAAACUUUACAGGACUCCUAAUUAUCUUCAUAGACCGUUCCAUUGCAUAUGCCUCUGAUAGUACUAAGUACAUCGUGAAGCAGUUGAAGAGGUCAGAUUUAAGCAACAUGACUCGAGAGACUUACGUAGCCUGCAAAACUUACUACGAAGAUGGCAUAGACCUUCUUCAAGAGACGUUAUACAAUUUUUUACAUUACCCUGACAAGAGUUUGAUUAAGAGU